rnacentral:rRNA from 1 species
CAGAGGGGGCAAGCGUUGUUCGGAAUUACUGGGCGUAAAGGGCGCGUAGGCGGCCUGCUAAGUCGAACGUGAAAUCCCUGGGCUCAACCCAGGAACUGCGUCCGAUACUGGUUGGCUUGAAUCCGGGAGAGGGAUGUGGAAUUCCAGGUGUAGCGGUGAAAUGCGUAGAUAUCUGGAGGAACACCGGUGGCGAAGGCGACAUCCUGGACCGGCAUUGACGCUGAGGCGCGAAAGCCAGGGGAGCAAACGGGACUAGAUACCCCGGUAGUCCUGGCCCUAAACGAUGAAUGCUUGGUGUGGCGGGUAUCGAUCCCUGCCGUGCCGAAGCUAACGCAUUAAGCAUUCCGCCUGGGGAGUACGGUCGCAAGGCUG